UUCAGGAAUGAGGAAAGUGUGCCAAGCAGGCUAAGAUAAAAGAAUUACCUUCUCCACUGAGCUCUUCCUUCACCACUUCUCCCUAUUACUGAUUUACUGUGUUGAAGAAUGGAGGUUAUCAGACACAAUGCUAGCAACACAGAGCAAUAAUGACACUCAAACUCCAGUAACUCCUUCUAAACCCCACAACCACUUCCAUCUAGAAGGGCAAGGGCAGCAUUUAUAUGGGAACACCAUCACCUUC